UACGUAGGGGGGCGAGCGUUGUCCGAAGUUACUGGGCGUAAAGCGCGCGUAGGCGGUCAUUUAAGUUCGGGGUGAAAGGUUCAGCGCUCAACGCGAACAGUGCCUUGAAUACUGGGUGGCUUGAGUUCGGGAGAGGGAUGCGGAAUUCCAGGUGUAGCGGUGAAAUGCGUAGAGAUCGGGAAGAACACCAGUGGCGAAGGCGACGUGCUGGGUUGCAACUGACGCUGAGAUGCGAAAGUGUGGGGGAGCAAACGGG
rnacentral:rRNA from 1 species